rnacentral:rRNA from 1 species
GACGAACCGUCCAAACGUUAUUCGGAAUUACUGGGCUUAAAGGGUGCGUAGGCGGCGCGGAAAGUUGGGUGUGAAAUCUCUCGGCUCAACCGAGGAACUGCGCCCAAUACUACCGUGCUCGAGGGAGAUAGAGGUGAGCGGAACUUAGGGUGGAGCGGUGAAAUGCGUUGAGAUGUGCAGGAACACCAAUGGCGAAGGCAAUCUUCUGGACGAAAACUGACGCUGAGACACGAAAGCCAAGGUAGCAAACAGG